rfam:Dracunculus medinensis genome assembly, scaffold: DME_contig0000118
GGGGGGUUAACUGAGCGGUAGAGCGCUCGCUUUGCAUGCGUGAGGUCGGGGGUUCCAUUCCCCCACCUUCCA